CUUGGUUUUCUUGAUACGGAGAACGAAUAGUUUGAGGUCGAUAUUGCUCUUGUCGUCAAAAAAAUUGCUGCACUUGAACCAAAAUAAUCCCCGUUAGUUUUUCUUGAUAUCCUCUUUCCAUGUUGAUUUUUAUUUCUUAAACAGUGAUACAUUUUUUAAAUUAUUUUUUAUCCAAUAUUUAAUUUUUGCUUUCCAAUCCUUUUAAGGAAGUGGUUUUCCUCUAUUUUUUGAAAAUCCCUUUCAAGCACCAAAGAAUUCUUGUUUAUUCUCUGAUUUUGUAGCCACUGAAUUGUAUUCUAAGAUCAGCAGUUUAAUAGUUCAUGAUUUUCUUUUGUGAUUCCUUAUUUGUGGGUAGAAAAUUCAGGCUUGGUGCAAGAGUUGUAGUAUAAGGAAAUAGUCAAAACGUUAGAAUAUGUGAAGCCAUGACUGAGCCUUUUAUUGAUAAAGACCACCGUGAUGAAUGUAAGUCUCUCUCUAUGUAGAUACCUUUUUAUUCCAUUUCUUGACCUAGAUAGAGAUUGAUAUAUUUGAUUUAUUGUCAAAUGUGUCAAGUCGAGCUGGUUUAAGAAUGUCUAGGAUACCUACCCUUGAAACUCGUAAAUUUGUCCUAAGGUAGG
rnacentral:lncRNA from 1 species